rnacentral:rRNA from 1 species
GAGUUUGAUCGUGGCUCAGGACGAACGCUGGCGGCGUGCUUAACACAUGCAAGUCGAACGGUGACGACGGAGCUUGCUCUGUCUGAUCAGUGGCGAACGGGUGAGUAACACGUGAGUAACCUGCCCCCGACUCUGGAAUAACCGUGGGAACGACGGCUAAUACCGGAUAUGAGACGCACAGGCAUCUGUGUGUCUGGAAAGAUUUAUCGGUCAGGGAUGGACUCGCGGCCUAUCAGCUUGUUGGUGGGUAAUGGCCCACCAAGGCGACGACGGGUAGCCGGCCUGAGAGGGCGACCGGCCGACACUGGGACUGAGAUACGGCCCAGACUCCUACGGGAGGCAGCAGUGGGGAAUAUUGCACAAUGGGCGCAAGCCUGAUGCAGCGACGCCGCGUGAGGGAUGAAGGCC